UAUAGGCUGAUUUUGUACCUUAGGAGAAUUAAUUGAAAGCUGAUUCCCCCUUGUCCUCAUGUUGAAACCUAUCUCACUUUUGUGAUUUAGUAGUUACUCUACACUGAAAGCAAUUUGGUCUUUAGUUAGAGAUUACAAGUACAAGUCCCCUCAAAACUGAUUUUGGUUGAUUGUGUGACUAGGAAAGCUGGUGCGCAGGGGCUGUUUUGGAGGAGCAAAAAUGGCAGCUUUGACUUGCCUCUUUUGGUUUUGUAGGUGGGAAAGGAAGGUGUGGCUGUUGUGUUGUUCUCGGGCUAGGCUCGCUCCCCUCGGCCCGAUGGACUGCUCAAAGACUGGCAAUAGUUCGGGCUUGGAGAAGAGGCCCGAAGUGCAUCAAAAUUUAUCUUUUCUUUUCUUUGUUUUCUUUAUUUGAAGCCUUGUUCCAUGUAUUAAUAUUUUUUUGAAGUUAGUAGUUCGUUUAUUGUAUA